rnacentral:rRNA from 1 species
AAACUUAAAGGAAUUGACGGAAGGGCACCACCAGGAGUGGAGCCUGCGGCUUAAUUUGACUCAACACGGGAAACCUCACCCGGCCCGGACACCGCGAGGAUUGGCAGACUGAGAGCUCUUUCUCGAUUCGGUGGGUGGUGGUGCAUGGCCGUUCUUAGUUGGUGGAGUGAUCUGUCUGGUUAAUUCCGAUAACGAACGAGACCUUAACCGGCUAAAUAGUCAUGCGAUUCUCGAAUCGUAGCUGACUUCUUAGAGGGACUGUUGGUGUUUAACCAAAGUCAGGAAGGCAAUAACAGGUCUGUGAUGCCCUUAG